UUUGAACGCUGGCGGUAUGCUUAACACAUGCAAGUCGGACGGAAACGACAAGGAGCUUGCUCCUUGGGCGUCGAGUGGCGGAUGGGUGAGUAAUAUAUAGGAACCUUCCUCAUAGUUUAGGAUAACUACUCGAAAGAGUAGCUAAUACUGGAUGUGGACUACGGUUUAAAGCAGGGGAUCUUCGGACCUUGCGCUACGAGAUGGGCCUAUACAAGAUUAGCUAGUUGGUGAGAUAAAGGCUCACCAAGGCGACGAUCUUUAGCUGGUUUGAGAGGAUGACCAGCCACACUGGGACUGAGACACGGCCCAGACUCCUACGGGGAGGGCAGCAGUGGGGGGAAUCUUGGGACAAUGGGAGGGGCAACCCUGAUCCAGCAAUACCG
rnacentral:rRNA from 1 species